GACGAACCGUGCGAACGUUGUUCGGAAUUACUGGGCGUAAAGGGCGCGUAGGCGGUGUGUCAAGUCAGGCGUGAAAGCCCCGGGCUCAACCUGGGAACCGCGCUUGAGACUGGCACGCUCGAGUUCGGGAGAGGAUGGUGGAAUUCCCAGUGUAGAGGUGAAAUUCGUAGAUAUUGGGAAGAACACCGAUGGCGAAGGCAGCCAUCUGGACCGACACUGACGCUGAGGCGCGAAAGCGUGGGGAGCAAACAGG
rnacentral:rRNA from 1 species